UCAGAAAGAAAAUAAACGAGAAAACUCUGUAAGAGUGUGUCCAUUUAUCAAAAUAGGCAUAUCAACAUAGCAGCAAACAUCUGAGUUAAAAAGCUUGGGUUAAAAUUUUCUAAUCAAAAUGAGCCCUAAACUGUCAUAGAAGAAAAAUCACAUUCGAUAUAGACUGUUUGUAAACCUUGUAUUGGAAUUUUUCUAGAAGGUUGACAUCUAAAGUUUAUUAUCAUAUCCAAAAUUUUCUUUUUCAACUUUUAAUAUAUUUAAAAGUUUAUGCUUUUUUUUUUAGAGUUUUUUUAAAGUCCAUUUUUAUUUCACUCCCUGUUCUUUUAUGUUCAAUUUUAUUAAAAGAAAUGAGAAUGUGCAAGAAUAAGCAGUUUGCUAAUUGAUUGUGUAUUUUUCUGUCAUAUGCUUUCAAUCGUUCUGCAUUAAAAAAAUCGUACAUGUGAAUAGGAAGGAACCUUGACGUGGUUCAUGUGCUUUAAAACAAAUACCUUCCAGACAGAAACUUUCUGAUACCUUGUGUAAUACGUUGUUUACAUAAAAUACGUUGAGGAUUUUGAGAGAUGAAGGGAAUAAGCAGUAUGAAAAAUAAAUGCUUAAGAAGAUGUUUAACAACGACAAUGAACUUCAAAUAUUUUUUUAAAUGUUAUUGUUAAUUCCAGUUAAUUUAUAUUAACAUAUUAUUUAUGUAACAGUGUGUAAGAUAUAUAUGAAAUUGUGUAUUUAAUUUUAAAAAUUUUUUAUACUAGUUUCAUUAAUUCAUGCUUUUUUUAAGUUUUUUUUAAUUUUAUUAUUAUGAAAUUAACCUCUUUUAAUUAAACUGCGACAGCUUAAAUUAGGGAUGGCAAUUCCGGGAUUUCGUAAAAAAUGUUCAUCCCGAAAUCCCGGGAUUAGUCUCCGAAAUUUCCCGGAAUUUCGGGAUCGUCAAAAAAGAGGAAAGGUUAAUAAAGUUUAAGCUUAUAAUUGUAGUUUAGUAAUUUUUAUAUCGUCUUUGGUAUAGUAGCUGUUUGGUUGUGUAAUCAUUCAUUAUCUUUGCAAUGUUUUCCUUU